rnacentral:lncRNA from 8 species
AUGACUAACCUGGGUGAACAAUCCUUAAAAGUAUGUCAGCUCUGUCUUAAAAACUCCUGUCUUCCCCCUCUCCUAUCCCCUGGGCACCUCGCUCUCCUCAAUCAGCUAGUCCGGCCUGUUAAGUCUAGCGACAGCAUGGCCAGCGAAGGAGAGAGGGAGGCAGCCGGCUCCUCCAGCAGACAAGAAAAAGAGAGGGAGAAAGAGAGAGAGAGAGAGAGAGAGAGAGAGAGAGAGAGAGGUGCUGUCUGUCUACCCUACUGUACCACACAGAACUCACUGCGCAGCCUGCCUGGUCCAAGCACACAGCCAGCCACAGUCCAUCUGGAGAGAAACACUUAUUCACGCACCCCUCUCUCUCGCUCUGUCCUUCCCACCCCCAUCCCUCCCCUCUUGCUCAGUCCCUCUCUCUCUCUCUGUCCUUCCCACCCCCAUCCCUCCCCUCUUGCUCAGUCCCUCUCUCUCUGUCCUUCCCACCCCCAUCCCUCCCCUCUUGCUCAGUCCCUCUCUCUCUCCUCUGCUGUGGCUAUCAUUAACAUAGAGGCUCCACCCAGUGGCCAUCCUCUAUUCCUUCUCUUCUUUUUCAUUUCUUCUCCUCCUCUCUCUCUUUGUGGAUUUCAGUCUUUCUACCCUUUCUCUUCAGUAGCCGCAGCUGAACUCCUUGCUGCUUUCUCCCUCUUCCCCUUUUGUGCUCUCUCUUCCUCUAUUCUCUUCCUCUAUUCUGCUCCCUCUCUCUGAGCCUCUUUUCUCUCUGUGUGUGUCUCUUGCGCUCCCUUCUUACUUUGCACAGUAACUCCGCAAGAUAUUCUUAGACUAAACAGAUUGCACACACAAACACAUUCUCAGGCUGUGUGUAGGAGAACAUAUUAACUCACCUUAUGGGCAAAUUCUCUCUCUCUCAACACAAACAGAUGCAUUGAAAAACACCACUGGUGUUAACAUCAAUAUUUUCUGCAGCACCAAGACCUGAAGCAGUUCAAAGGAUCAUGUUUCUAGGAAUAUUUAGUCAUCCAUCAGAAUACUACAGGGUGUUUUUUAAUAGACUCCAUCUACACUCUAUGCUCACAUCCCUUGAAAUGACUGGUAUAUGAGAACUCCAUGUAACCUAUAACUACACCAAUCCAGUGCUUUUAUAUAUGUGGAGAGAAGGGAACGAGGGCACACUUCAGGAAGGAGGAGAGAUCAUUGGGACGUACCGUAUGUCCAGCAAAUAAAGGCUUAUUGGACCUUGGAUUCUUUAAACCAUUCCACACUCUUAUAUGAAAGUGGUAUAUUGAAAUAACCUGUCAAAAGCUGCACGACAUUGACCAAGAUAUAUACUUCAACAUGCCUAUCUGAAAAAUGUAAAACGUUCGCAAUUGUCUGUGUGUAUAGGCAUUUAAAGCAAGACGUCAUACACACACACAGAUGUCUUAGCCUGGUUCCUAGAUCUGUUCGUGCUGUCCUAUGGUCAUUGUCAUUCCAAAACAUGUCACGUCCUGACCAGUUUAGGGAUUAUUUGCUAUUGUAGUUUGGUCAGGACGUGGCAGAGGGUAUUUUGUUUAUGUGUUUCGGGGUGGUGGUGUAUGUAGUAGGGUGUUUGAUUUAUUAUUUCCAGGUUUUGGUCUAUGUUCUUUCUGGUUUGUUGUAUUUCUAUGUUUAGGUUGAUGGGGGGUUGGACUCUCAAUUGGAGGCAGGUGCUUUCUCGUUGCCUCUGAUUGAGAGUCCUAUAUAUGGGUAACUGUUUGGUUUGGUAUUGUGGGAGCUUGUUUCGCCUGUGUGAGCGUGACAAGACUGUUUUGUUGUUCGUUUUGUUAUUCUCUUUAUUUAAAAUAAAUAACAAGAUGAGCAUCCACAUUCCUGCUGCGUUUUGGUCCUCUAUUCCCGACGACAACCGUUACAAAACAUGACAUUGGACCAUAGCAGUUAGCUAUACAGGCCAAACAGAUCUGGGACCAGGCUAACCUACUACAGGCGGCAGGUAGCCUAGAGGUUUAGAGUGUUGGUCCAGUAAUCGAAAGGUCGCUGGUUCGAAUCCCUGAGCCGACUAGGUGAAAAACCAGUCGAUGUGCCCUUGAGCAAGGCACUCAGCUCGAAUUGCUCCUUAAAUCGUUCUGGAUAAGAGUGUUUUCUAAAUGUACAGAUGUUGUGGUUACUGUAUCUAAGGCAGUGCAUCAGAUUCAUUCCUCCACCCUCUGUUUUGGUUUUAUCCUUCCUCUCAGGAUUGGUUUAUGAAGCCUUUGGUUGCGUCCCAAAUGGAACCCUAUUCCCUACACGGUGCACUACUUUUGACCAGACUCAAAAGUAGUGUACUAUGUAGGUAACAGGGUCCCAUUGGAACACAGCCUUUAUGUACAAAUCCAGAACUCAUUGUUGCUUGGCAACAGGUUAAAAAGAAAUUAUUUGUUCCUGGACAAGAAUCUGUGAUUCAUUUGUUGUGAUUAUGAUCAUCUUCUCUUCUAUUGCAGUUAUUCACAAAAACAAAAUCAACUUGGGACAUACACAAGGGGCCUUUUCUUCACAGUAAUAAACAAACACACACACACACACGUCCAGAUUCACAGUCCUAACGGGAUUUGACUCCUUUGAUUCAAUUGAGAUUUGGUUCCUGCAUUCAUAUUUCAUUUUUCUAUUUCUCUUUGGGGAGUGCAGCCCAGUUGACCUUCCACGGCAGACAAGCUAGCAAUAACCAACUGUCAUUCACUCACCUAGUGUCAAACACUCUUUAAAUUCUUAAACACUAGUAGCCAUCACUCUGUGUCCAUCACUCUGCCUCAGUCCCUCCUUCUCUGACAAUCAGGUGCCUCAUCCCUCCCUCUCUGACAAUCAGGUGCCUCAUCCCUCCCUCUCUGCCAAUCAGGUGCCUCAUCCCUCCUUCUCUGACAAUCAGGUGCCUCGGCCCCUCCUUCUCUGACAAUCAGGUGCCUCAUCCCUCCCUCUCUGCCAAUCAGGUGCCUCAGUCCCUCCCUCUCUGCCAAUCAGGUGCCUCAUCCCUCCUUCUCUGACAAUCAGGUGCCUCGGCCCCUCCUUCUCUGACAAUCAGGUGCCUCAUCCCUCCCUCUCUGCCAAUCAGGUGCCUCAGUCCCUCCCUCUCUGCCAAUCAGGUGCCUCAUCCCUCCCUCUCUGCCAAUCAGGUGCAUCAUCCCUCCCUCUCUGCCAAUCAGGUGCCUCAGUCCCUCCCUCUCUGACAAUCAGGUGCCUCAGUCCCUCCUUCUCUGCCAAUCAGGUGCCUCAUCCCUCCCUCUCUGCCAAUCAGGUGCCUCAUCCCUCCCUCUCUGCCAAUCAGGUGCCUCAGUCCCUCCCUCUCUGACAAUCAGGUGCCUCAUCCCUCCCUCUCUGCCAAUCAGGUGCCUCAGUCCCUCCUUCUCUGCCAAUCAGGUGCCUCAUCCCUCCCUCUCUGCCAAUCAGGCUGUGUUGCAGAGCAGUGGGAGCAGCCUUACAUAGUCUGACUGAGGGCAGAGAAAAUGACUGAGGGCCAUGGGGUGGGGGGAGGAGGUGAUGCUGUGACAGUGGGGUGGUAAUGAAGACAUGACCCGAGCCCUGCACCACGGGAGGAAGACUCCAACACUGACCCCAGAUCAGGGUCUACAUCCCAAAUGGACCACGGUCAAAAGUAGUGCACUAUAUAGGGCAGUAUUCAACUCUUACCCUACGAGGUCCGGAGCCUGCUGGUCUUCUGUUCUACCUGAUAAUUAAUACACACACCUGGUGUCCCAGGUCAAAAUCAGUCCCUGAUUAAAGGGAAGCAAUGAAAAACACACAGUGGAACUGGCUUCCAGUCCAGAGUUGAGUUUUAAGGAUAUAGAGAAUAGGGUGCGAUUUGGGACACAGCCUGAAGCUGCAGAGUCAGGAGGAAGUACCCAAAGUGCUGCAGCUGCAUGUCAUCGUUCCAGUGGAACAGGCCCGUCACGAGAGGGACGGUCAAGACCCUGCUCUGUGAAGUCAGCACAAAUCCUGCUUCUGCUUUCUUUUGGUUUUAAUAUGUAGGCUAUGCAUCUCCAUUGUACUGCAAGGGACUGUGGGAACUGGUAU